CGGAGGGCGAGAGCCACCUCUCCGCACCUGAGUGGGAAAUGGAGCUCGCCGGACCCCAAGGCCACCCUGUAAGCAGGGUAGUGCCGUUUCCCUGCCCCUCUUCCUCCCCCGGCCCCUCGGCAUCGUUGCCUGAUGGUGGCUUGUCAACGCGACGGCCCCGUACUCGGGGUGUGCGUCACGGCAUUUGGCCGUUGGCUUUAUCUGAGAAGCCCCUUGGCACGUUGAGGUCCGUGGCCUCCGUGCAGCCUAGGGACAGGUCACAGGCUCUUGUCUGUUGCCCGUGGUUGUGGGUUUAUUCCCAGGUGUUGGCUGUGCUGCGUUGUCCUUCCCUUCUGGAAAUCGUGCCUGUGUGUGCGUGUUCCCCUUCCUUUCCUUGUUUGUGUUUGUGGAGUGGUUGAGCGGCUGUGCUUUCCCUUUA
rnacentral:lncRNA from 1 species